GAAAGAUCUCUUUCUGAUUAUUGCUCCUUGUGGAAUUUAUUGCUAGCCUAUAACAUUGGAUGUUUGACUUUCUUACUCAUUUGCUACUGGAGUGGAGAUGGAUUUGGUCACCUCCGAGAGCAAUGCCAACAUGAACGCAUGAAAAAGCAGACAAGGGAAAGCCAGUGGGCAUCAAGCUUGUGUGUACGUGUGUGACAGAGGAACCAGAGCAUGAAGGCAAUAUGGGAAAGAAACAAGAAUCCAGAGCUUUGUGUCCAGCCAUGAUUGAGUAACUGCAGAACCACAAACUAAGCUUCCAUCUAUUGCAAAUCCUGUUCCUGUUUUAAUUUAAUCUAUGUGAACUGUAAACUUUCUGUAACUCCUGAAUCUGUUUUUACAACCCUAAAUAGAUGGCUGAAAUUACUUUCAGUUGGGUUAUAGAAAAAGGUGUCUAGUAGUAGACAUGUACUGGAUGGGAAAAAAUAUCCAAAAAGGGAAGAAAAGUUAAUAUAAAUAUCUGAUUAAGUAGUUGCUGAGUAUCUCACUUUCGUUGUUAGCAGGAAAGAAACAAAAGCUGCAAAAGCAUGAACAAGUAAUUUGCUUCCCAAAUGGAUAUCCAAAUACAUUGCCACCACUCCUUUCCUCUUUCAGCUUUCUGUCCAAUGACUCUUUACUAUAGAAGCAUAUGGAUUGAUAUUGUACUUGUUCUACUCUUCAAAUUUUGGCUGUAGUUAUUAAAACAAAAUUUAAAAAAGAUGAGGAGAAGAAAUCAGCUAAGACUGCUUCCUUGAAGUGGCAAACCUUCUAGUGUCUAAGGCCAACUUUCUGUUAAACAUCUCACUUUAUGUUAGGUACCAGUUAUAUAAUGCCUAAUCAGCAAAAAUUUUGGUGUGUGUGUGAAUGUGUGUGCAUGUUUAAUAAUAACAAACUUGUAUUAAAAAAGCCAAAAAGGAAUUUCUAAUAAGAAAGGAAUUGCCUGCUUUUGGAG